rnacentral:tRNA from 1 species
GGCAUCUUAGCAUAGCGGCAAUGCAAUCGGUUUAAGCCCGGUGACGAAAGUCUAGAUGGGUUCGACUCCCAUAGAUGCCUC